UACGGGGGGAGCAAGCGUUGUUCGGAAUUACUGGGCGUAAAGGGCUCGUAGGUGGCCAACUAAGUCAGACGUGAAAUCCCUCGGCUCAACCGGGGAACUGCGUGUGAUACUGGCGGGCUUGAAUUCGGGAGAGGGAUGCGGAAUUCCAGGUGUAGCGGUGAAAUGCGUAGAUAUCUGGAGGAACACCGGUGGCGAAGGCGGCAUCCUGGACCGGCAUUGACGCUGAGGCGCGAAAGCCAGGGGAGCAAACGGG
rnacentral:rRNA from 1 species